rnacentral:lncRNA from 1 species
AGAGAAUGCGUAAAUGUUAUUAAUCAGUAAUAUAGGCAGUCAAUAAUAAGAUUAAUUAGUUGGUUAUACACACCAAGAGAAUGAAGCAAUACAUAAAAUCAUUAAAAUAAAAAUAUUAAUUAUUUUAGGAGUUGCAUAAACAGAAAAUUAAUACCAAGAUUAUAUUAAUUUCGAUGAAUUUUCAUAUGCAAACGUUGCUGAGCAAAAUUGAUAAGCUUAUCUAUUUCUUUAGGAUUGUCAAUUUGGCCAUUGCGAUUGAGAUCAGCUUCCUUCAUUGCUUGCCUAGCCUUCCACCAAGCAAAACCAACCCUCAUGCUAUGAAGUGCUUCUUUUAGGUCUUCUCGGCUAAUCCGACCGUCAGAGUCUAUGUCGAACUGCCGAAGCCAAGCUUUGAAUUCUUCCACCGUCAUCUCGCGGCUGGGCUGCACCUGAACACAAUGCAUAAUCGCCAUAGAUAUCUUUCUUGGGGCUGUUGGCUUAUUUUUCAAUUGAAAGAAGCAGCUAUAUAUAUAUAACAAGAGUUGUAUUAUUGAUUUAGCUAAGGUUAGAUUAAAGCAGCGGUGGAGAAUAAUGGAAUCUAUGUAUUUGGUAUGGUUGCCACAGCAUCUUGUGUCUUUUCAUUUUGGCUGUCUUAUCUUUCUUUUUUUUUAGUUUUAUGCUUUAUUCUUAAG